UCCAGUCCAAGCUGUUUGCUGGCAAAACAGUGAGAAAGACGAGAUUAAUGGAUAUAAGAACCCAAGAUGGUGAUGUGGGAGGCACAAGGAAGAUUUAAAGCAAUACAGUAAGAAAUCAUUUGACUUAAGACAUCCAUUAAAAAGGUGAAGGCAGACAUUGGACUAUCAGUUCUGACAAGGUUAUAUGGAAAUAAAGUGAAAACUAAUUAAGCUUUUAUGUCGGCAUUUUUUUCUCUAUAAUACGCUGGACCAAUUUCAGAUGUGCUACAAGACAUCAUGGAUAGCUUUGGAAACCAGGGAAGCUCGAGUAUCAUUAACUGCAACUCAAGCAGCAAGCUUACAGAAGUGGGAUAAUAGAUGCUGAGGGAAAAGGAUCAGCAUAUAAAGGGAGACAGGUACCUCGGCGUCUUAACUUCAUUCUCAAGGAAGAAAAUGAAGAAGCUUGUCUAACAACACUGCCUGAUUGACACAGCGGAGGAGGCGAGAGCUCCCCGUUAGUAGCAGCUCGCGGAGGGAGCCGUGAUGGUACGCGUUACGCUGCGCGAAGCAAAGGAGCCGUUUACAAGUGCAAGAGAAGCCCUUUCACCGAUCGUCAACGCCGCCGGUACGAGAAGGGCCGGGCAACGUCAGCAUCCGCCGCUCACCGCAGCGCCACCCGACGAAGUCGCCGCCGCCGCCGGAAGCCUCAACCCCGGCCCGGCUCCGCCCUCCUCCCGCCGCGUGACCGGCGCCGGGCGCUGCGCUCGGCCGCCUGUUAGGGGAGGAGCCGGCGCUGAGCGUUUCCCGGCGGCGCGGCGAGGAAGGCAGGCUGGUGUUGCUACCCUGCCUUGCCCGUCGCUUUCCUUUGGGGAGAAGGAGGGCUGGGCGAGAGGAGCGGUUGCUCCCUGCCCGCCCUUCAGCGGCGCCCGCCCGCCCGGGAUGUCUUUGUCGGAGCGGGAGGGCGGCGUAGCUUUGGCGUGACGGCAUGGCCGCGGAGCUCGGCUGCGGGGGAGAGCCGGAUCGGAAGCUAGGCGUUGCAUUGGAGCAGGAUGAAGCAGAUGAGAUUUUGAGUAGUGCUGCUGAGAAAAGCGUCGCCGGAGGUGAUGGCAUAUCCAGAUCCAGGAUGAUGGACCAAAGCUUGAUAACAAAAAGCGUAGAGUAUGAAAAGUGCUUGGAAGAAAUGAGGGAGCAGCUGCAGAUUUAUCAGGUGCAGAUGAGUGAGAUGAGACAGAAGUUUGAACAGGUCACCACGGAGAACAGGAGUCCUUUGAAUUUCAGGCUGCAUGCAGAGUUGAAAGAGGCUCUUGAGAUGCAGCUGGAUGCUCUUCCUUUUAUGCCCCUGGGAACUGCUAUUCCUGCAGAUGAAGAAAUAGUGAGAAACCUUCAGGAACAGCUCCAACUGACUAAUCAGGAAAAAGAACAAGCAAUAGAGCUCUGGCAGACUGUAUCACAGGAGCUUGAUCAACUCCAGCAGCAACACCAGGAACACAUGACUCAAACACAGAUUCACAUGGCUGAAAGACUGAAACAGCAAGAUCAACUGGCUAACUUUCACCAGCUUACUUCACACCUGCAUGCAGCCAGUGAGAAAACAGAAUUGAGCAAUCAGUUUCUGAAAACCGUGGCAGAACAGAAUGUGGAACUAGAGCAGCUACAGAAACAACUGAGGCAAGCUAAAAUAGAUAGAUGGACAGCAAGUGCCAAGGUUGAUGAAAUGAUCAGAUUGACAAAGACGCUUCAAGGCCAAUUGGAGAGAAAGGAAGAAGAUGUGGUAUCUGCCCAGCAAAGAGAAGCAGCAUCUGACAAACUCCUGCAACAAUUGCAGUCUAGUAUCAAACAAUUAGAAACAAGAUUACAUGUUACUGUCCAAGAUGCUGAACAAAUGAGAACAGAAAGAACAGCCCUGGAGAAACAAAUCAGAAUGCUUCACACAAAGUGUGCUAAUUUAGAAAGGGAAAAGUAUGAAGCAGUUGCAAGAGUCCAAGAUUGCGUACAGCUGUUAGAAGAAGCUAACCUGCAAAAGAGUCAGGCACUGUUUAAGAAGAAACAAAAGGAAGAGGAAAUAAAGAAGAUGAAAGAUGAAAUAUUUCAGCUCACAGAAGAUACUGCUGCAAGAAUUAGAAAGGCAGUAGACUCUGCGAAGAAACAAUACAAUGUGCAGAUCUCUCAAUUAACAGAAGAACUUUUAGCUCUUCAUAUGGAAUGCGGUGAAAAGCAGGGUCAAAUAGAGCGAGCCAUUAGAGAAAAGCGAGCAGUGGAAGAAGAGCUUGAAAAGAUUUGCAGAGAAUAUGGAGGACAUGAAUCUGACAACAGAAAACUAGAGCAACUGCAUCAGAAAUACCUACUUGCAGAGACUGCCAAAUGUGACCUUCAGCUGAGUCUGCAGACAACACAACAUAAACUGAAACUGUUGGAAAUGAACUUUGAGGAAGAGAAAUCUAAUUACCAGAAGAAUAUCUGCAACUUGCAAAGCAUUCUGGAUUCAGAAAGAGAAAAGAGCGGCUCCAUCGGUGAACAAAGAUUAAAGCUUCAGCAAGAGAAUGAACAACUGCAAAAAGAAAUUGAAAGCUUGAAAAAAGCGGCAUCAGAGGCACAGCAAAAAGCCAAAAUAAAGAUAAGCAGUAUGGAGCACGAGCAUGCUGUGAGAGAACAUGGAUACGAAGUUCGUCUUAAGGAAAUGGAAGACAUCAGUCAGAAGUCAACUGCUGAGCUUAGACGUCUGUUGACAGCUCAGCAAAAAGCAACAAAUAGAUGGAAAGAGGAAACAAAAGUGCUUACUGAAACUACAGAAGCUAGGAUCAGUAAGUUAAAGAGUGAUCUGAGUCAACAAAAACUUUGUAAUCAGGAUCUUAUUGCUCAGCUGGAACUGGCAAACAAUAAAGUAAUUGAGGAUGAAAAAUUAAUGACGGAAUAUCAGAAACAUAUCAAUAGGCUUCAGAUGAGACUGAGCCAGGCAGAACAGAGGGCAGCUACAGCAUCACAAAAGCUCAGCACAUUAACUACAUGGAAGAGAAAGGCUACUUCUCUGAAGGAACUAGAAAAUAUUUAACAUGAAGCAUCAAUAAUAUUCGCACCACAGUGGAGGUAACAAAGAAGGCUGGCUGAAGAUCCAUACUGUCUCUGUUUGCAUGGCAGAGAUCAGAAGACUGCAAACUGAUAGAACAAACACAAGUUGAUCACCAGAUAGAAGCAGGUUUGUGGCACCUCCUGAAAAGCUUGCUUGUCAAUUAAAGAAGAGCCUGCAGGACGGAGGCAACCUGAAGGAAAAAUUCUGCUUACCAUAGAGGAGUUCACUGUUUCUACAAUUGCACAUGCAACGGCAUAUUGCUCACAAACUGGCUGUUGGGAGGUGAGGUGCUAGCUGCAACAAUCAAGACUUGAGAUUUGCUGUUUAGGUGAGUUUUACACUUUCCCUUGCGAUACCGGAUUUCUCGGUGAAAUUGAACAGGGGUCUUUUUGAACAUCCCUAAUAACCCUUAUUGAUCCAGGAUUGGUUGUGACACCAAACAACAGCCAAACCAAAGAAAGUGAGGCCGUGUCCCAUUCCAUGACCUGACCCUUUCUCAGGCAUUAUCCUGGACCUUCCCAGGAGUGCUUGAGACACGAGUCAAAAUACGGGAAGGGACAUCCUACCCCUCCCUGUAGCUUAAUUGUCUCUCAAAGUGUCGUCCAGGCGCACUGUAACACUGAGUCACUUGGGCCUCACGCCUUUCAGCAGAGGAGGUGAAAGGCCACAGACAAAUAGUGGUGAUCAAUGGUUCUAUGUCCAGGCAGAGGCCAGUAAUAAGCAGUGCCCCACAGAAGACUGUCUAGGGACCAGUGCUCUUUAACAUCUUUAUCAGUAACACCCAUAAUGGAAUUAAGUGCACCCUGAGCAAGUCUGCUGCUGACACCGAGCUGAGCGGCGCAGUGGACACAGUGGAAGGAAGGGAUGACAUUCAGAGGGACCUCAGCAGACUCAAAGGGUGGGGCCGGGUGAACCUAAUGAGGUUCAACACAGCACAGUGCAAGGUUUUAAUCCUGGGCCAGAGGAAUCCCAGGCAUCCAUAAAGACUGGGAAGAGCAGCCCUGCAGACAAGGACCUGGUGAACCUGGUGGAUGAAAACCUUGGCAUGAGCCAGCAGUGUGCUCUUGCAGCUCGGAAAGGAAAUGCUAUCCUGGGCUCCAUCAGAAGAGGGGAAGAUGCCACAGUAACUGUGUUGAGUGGCUGUUUGUCCGGGCUGAAGUGAAGCACAUUUUUUUUAAAUAUGAAAAGGGGGAAAACAAAAGAAACAAAACUUUAAACAGAAAAUACAGAAAACAAAAUCCCUAUGUCCAUCAUCUGGACAUCCCAAUUGCAAGAAUGCAGCCAAAAUAUGGCACUUGUGCAGAGGCUAAAGCAGGUGCCCAGGCUGCUCUUGGACCCAACAUGUGCCAUAGCAGCACAGCUGAUCCGUGGCUGUACUGCUGAGUCCUUGGCCACUGCUGUCCAACUCAUGCAUUGCUUGUACGGUACUGACCUGGGGAAUGGGGAAUGCAGAAUUUUAACUUUUUCUCUUUCAGAUUGACAUUUAUUCCACUAUUAACUCAGCUUCAUACUGCUUCAAGCAGGCUCAUGGCACUAGAACUAAGCAGGACUUCUCUAUUUUAUUCCAAAGCCUUGUUAACUCCAAUUGCUGCCCUAGAAAUUUACUUGCAAAUCAGCAGGUAGGCUCUAUUUGAUGAAUGGAUGCAAACCCUUGAAGUCUUUA